CUCAGUCGGUAGAGCAUGAGACUCUUA
rnacentral:piRNA from 4 species